GUGACUCCAGAGCCUCCAGCGAGAUGCUGCUGAUUCUGCUGUCAGUGGCCCUGCUGGCCCUGAGCUCAGCUGAGAGUUCAAGUGAAGAUGUCAGCCAGGAAGAAUCUCUCUUCCUAAUAUCAGGAAAGCCAGAAGGACGACGCCCACAAGGAGGAAACCAGCCCCAACGUCCCCCACCUCCUCCAGGAAAGCCACAAGGACCACCCCCACAAGGAGGAAACCAGUCCCAAGGUCCCCCACCUCCUCCAGGAAAGCCAGAAGGACGACCCCCACAAGGAGGCAACCAGUCCCAAGGUCCCCCACCUCAUCCAGGAAAGCCAGAAAGACCACCCCCACAAGGAGGAAACCAGUCCCAAGGUACCCCACCUCCUCCAGGAAAGCCAGAAAGACCACCCCCACAAGGAGGCAACCAGUCCCACCGUCCCCCACCUCCUCCAGGAAAGCCAGAAAGACCACCCCCACAAGGAGGUAACCAGUCCCAAGGUCCCCCACCUCAUCCAGGAAAGCCAGAAGGACCACCCCCACAGGAAGGAAACAAGUCCCGAAGUGCCCGAUCUCCUCCAGGAAAGCCACAAGGACCACCCCAACAAGAAGCCCCAACGUACCCCACCUCCUCCAGGAAAGCCAGAAGGACGACCCCCACAAGGAGGCAACCAGUCCCAAGGUCCCCCACCUCGUCCAGGAAAGCCAGAAGGACCACCCCCACAAGGAGGAAACCAGUCCCAAGGUCCCCCACCUCGUCCGGGAAAGCCAGAAGGACAACCCCCACAAGGAGGAAACCAGUCCCAAGGUCCCCCACCUCGAAGGCCACAAGGACCACCCCCACCAGGAGGCAAUCCCCAGCAGCCUCUGCCACCUCCCGCUGGAAAGCCCCAGGGACCACCUCCACCUCCUCAAGGGGGCAGACCACACAGACCUCCCCAGGGACAGCCUCCCCAGUAAUCAAGGUUCAAUGACAGGAAGUGAACAAGAAGAUGACAGUGAUUCAAAUGAUUCAAAUGCCAUGACAUUGGAAGAAGGUGGUCAUAGCUCUACCUUUAAUAUACCAAUAAAAUAAACAGCUU
rnacentral:lncRNA from 1 species